UCCGAAUUGGUGUAGUGGCUAACAUUUGACGCUCUCAUGAUUCUAUGAUCCGUCAAGCCCGGGGUUCGAUUCCCCGAUUCGGAG
rnacentral:tRNA from 1 species